rnacentral:rRNA from 1 species
GACGAACGCUGGCGGCGUGCUUAACACAUGCAAGUCGAACGGAAAGGCCCUGCUUUUGUGGGGUGCUCGAGUGGCGAACGGGUGAGUAACACGUGAGUAACCUGCACUUGACUUAGGGAUAACUUCAGGCAACUGGGGCUAAUAACGGAUCGGCGCAUCUGUUGCAAGGCGGGGGUCGGAAAGUUUCGGCGGUUGGGGAUGGACUCGCGGCUUAUCGGCUUGUUUGUGGGGUAGUGGCUUACCAAGGCUUUGCCGGGUGGCCGGCCUGCGAGGGUGACCGGCCACAUUGGGACUGAGAUACGGCCCAGACUCCUACGGGGGGCAGCAGGGGGGAAUAAUGCGCAAUGGGCGGAAGCCUGAUGCAGCAACGCCGCGUGCGGGAUGAGGGCCUUCUGGUUAUAAACCGCUUUCGCCUGUGACGAAGCGUGAGUGACGGUAAUGGGUAAAGAAGCACCGGCUAACUACGUG